rnacentral:rRNA from 1 species
GCUGAAAUCAGUCGAAGAUACCAGCUGGCUGCAACUGUUUAUUAAAAACACAGCACUGUGCAAACACGAAAGUGGACGUAUACGGUGUGACGCCUGCCCGGUGCCGGAAGGUUAAUUGAUGGGGUUAUCCGUAAGGAGAAGCUCUUGAUCGAAGCCCCGGUAAACGGCGGCCGUAACUAUAACGGUCCUAAGGUAGCGAAAUUCCUUGUCGGGUAAGUUCCGACCUGCACGAAUGGCGUAAUGAUGGCCAGGCUGUCUCCACCCGAGACUCAGUGAAAUUGAACUCGCUGUGAAGAUGCAGUGUACCCGCGGCAAGACGGAAAGACCCCGUGAACCUUUACUAUAGCUUGACACUGAACACUGGUCCUUGAUGUGUAGGAUAGGUGGGAGGCUUUGAAGUGUGGACGCCAGUCUGCAUGGAGCCAUCCUUGAAAUACCACCCUUUAAUGGCUGGUGUUCUAACGUGGGCCCGUAAUCCGGGUUGCGGACAGUGUCUGGUGGGUAGUUUGACUGGGGCGGUCUCCUCCUAAAGAGUAACGGAGGAGCACGAAGGUCAGCUAAUCCUGGUCGGACAUCAGGAGGUUAGUGCAAUGGCAUAAGCUGGCUUGACUGCGAGCGUGACGGCGCGAGCAGGUGCGAAAGCAGGUCAUAGUGAUCCGGUGGUUCUGAAUGGAAGGGCCAUCGCUCAACGGAUAAAAGGUACUCCGGGGAUAACAGGCUGAUACCGCCCAAGAGUUCAUAUCGACGGCGGUGUUUGGCACCUCGAUGUCGGCUCAUCACAUCCUGGGGCUGAAGUAGGUCCCAAGGGUAUGGCUGUUCGCCAUUUAAAGUGGUACGCGAGCUGGGUUUAGAACGUCGUGAGACAGUUCGGUCCCUAUCUGCCGUGGGCGCUGGAGAAUUGAGGGGGGCUGCUCCUAGUACGAGAGGACCGGAGUGGACGCAUCACUGGUGUUCGGGUUGUCAUGCCAAUGGCAUUGCCCGGUAGCUAAAUGCGGAAGAGAUAAGUGCUGAAAGCAUCUAAGCACGAAACUUGCCCCGAGAUGAGUUCUCCCUGACUCCCUGAGAGUCCUGAAGGAACGUUGAAGACGACGACGUUGAUAGGCCGGGUGUGUAAGCGCAGCGAUGCGUUGAGCUAACCGGUACUAAUGAACCGUGAGGCUUAACCUU